UGGGGAAUAUUGCACAAUGGACGGAAGUUUGAUGCAGCGACGCCGCGUGGAGGGUGUAGGCCUUCGGGUUGUGAACUCCUUUUUCUCGCGAAAAAGGCACAGUUUUGGCUGUGUUGAUGGUAGUGGGGGAAGAAGCGCCGGCUAACUACGUGCCAGCAGCCGCGGUAAUACGUAGGGCGCGAGCGUUGUCCGGAGUUAUUGGGCGUAAAGAGCUCGUAGGUGGUUCGUCGCGUCUGUCGUGAAAGCCAGCAGCUUAACUGUUGGUCUGCGGUGGGUACGGGCGGGUUUGAGUGCGGUAGGGGUGACUGGAAUUCCUGGUGUAGCGGUGUAAUGCGCAGAUAUCAGGAGGAACACCGAUGGCGAAGGCAGGUCACUGGGCCGUUACUGACACUGAGUAGCGAAAGCGUGGGGAGCGAACAGG
rnacentral:rRNA from 1 species